UUUCCGUAGGUGAACCUGCGGAAGGAUCAUUACCGAGUUAGGGUCCCUCAGGCCCGACCUCCCACCCUGUGUUUUUGUGACCUUGUUGCUUCGGCGGGCCCGCCUCGGUGAGAGGCCGCCCGAAGCUCACCGCUUUGGGCCCGUGCCCGUCUGUAGCCCCCUUAAAUUCUUAAUAAACCGGUCGUCUGUGUUAAUGGAUAUAAUGAAAAAAAACUUUCAACAACGGAUCUCUUGGUUCUG
rnacentral:misc_RNA from 1 species